AGGAUGAGUCUUCAAAAUUAAUUGAGUAAAAGGCGUUACACAUUGCGUAUACGGAAUACAAUUUCUAAAAAUAAAAAGAGCUAAUACUGCUGAUGAAUCACUGUAGUAGAUGGGAAGUUAAAAAGGAAAAAUACAUAAAUAUUUAAUUUAUAACUUCUGCGUUCAAUGACAAAUUAUUAAUGAAGAAAUACGAUUCUGAGCA